rnacentral:rRNA from 1 species
UACGUAGGGUGCAAGCGUUAAUCGGAAUUACUGGGCGUAAAGCGUGCGCAGGCGGUUGUGCAAGACAGAUGUGAAAUCCCCGGGCUUAACCUGGGAACUGCAUUUGUGACUGUACGGCUAGAGUGCGGCAGAGGGGGAUGGGAAUUCCGACGUGUAGCAGUGAAAUGCGUAGAUAUGCGGAGGAACACCGAUGGCGAAGGCAAUCCCCUGGGCCUGCACUGACGCUCAUGCACGAAAGCGUGGGAGCAAACAGG